rnacentral:rRNA from 1 species
GACGAACGCUGGCGGCGUGCUUAACACAUGCAAGUCGAACGGAAAGGCCCUGCUUUUGUGGGGUGCUCGAGUGGCGAACGGGUGAGUAACACGUGAGUAACCUGCCCUUGACUUUGGGAUGACUUCAGGAAACUGGGGCUAAUACCGGAUAGGAGCUCCUGCUGCAUGGUGGGGGUUGGAAAGUUUCGGCGGUUGGGGAUGGACUCGCGGCUUAUCAGCUUGUUGGUGGGGUAGUGGCUUACCAAGGCUUUGACGGGUAGCCGGCCUGAGAGGGUGACCGGCCACAUUGGGACUGAGAUGCGGCCCAGACUCCUACGGGAGGCAGCAGUGGGGAAUAUUGCACAAUGGGCGGAAGCCUGAUGCAGCAACGCCGCGUGCGGGAUGACGGCCUUCGGGUUGUAAACCGCUUUCGCCUGUGACGAAGCGUGAGUGACGGUAAUGGGUAAAGAAGCACCGGCUAACUACGUG